rnacentral:rRNA from 1 species
CGUGUAGGCGGCCGAUCAAGUCGGGUGUGAAAGCCCUCGGCUCAACCGAGGAAUUGCACCCGAUACUGAUUAGCUAGAGUCCGGGAGGGGGUAGCGGAAUUCCCAGUGUAGCGGUGAAAUGCGUAGAUAUUGGGAAGAACACCAGUGGCGAAGGCGGCUACCUGGACCGGAACUGACGCUGAGGCGCGAAAGCUAGGGGAGCGAAUG